rnacentral:lncRNA from 1 species
UUGAAAUGGCCAUUAACCUGGCCAAGAGCCAGCACCUAGAUAGUGAUGGGUUGGCCCAGAUCUUCAUGCAGUAUGGGGACCAUCUCUACAGCAAGGGCAACCACGAUGGGGCUGUUCAACAGUAUAUCCGGUUAGUCUUGGGUGCUUUAGGAUAUAGCUCUGAAUGCAGCCAGAUAGACUAACACCUAGGCUUGGGUUAGGAGAGUGGACUCCACCAAAAGGAGCCAUUCUUUUUCCCUGCAGAAACUGUGAUGGCCUGGGUGAGAAGUUGGUACAGUUCACCGUAAAGGGAACAUUUAGGGUCAAAUAUUACAUGACCAGGGUGCAGUGGAGCUGAUGAGUAUCUCUUGUUUUAAACCUUAUUUUGUUUUUACCUGUGUAUCUAUAUUUUUUAAGUAGGCUUCACACCCAAUGUGAGGCUUGAACUCACAACCCAGAGAUCAAGAGUUACAUGCUCUACUGACAGAGCCAGCCAGGUACCCGUUCUUGUUUAGGCUGGCCUUUGUUACUAUUCAUUUUUGGGGCACCUGGCUGGCACAGUUGGUAGAGCACACGACUCUUGAUUUCAGCAUCAUGAGUUCAAGUCCCACAUUGGGCACAAAGCUUAGUUUAAAAAAAAAAAAUUCAUUUUGAUCUGAUUUGUUUGUUUGUUUCUUUUGAGAGACACAGCACAAGUGGGGGAGGGGCAGAGAGAUGAGGACAGAGGAUCUGAAGCGGGCUCUGCACUGGCAGCAGAGAGCCCGAUGGGGGGCUCAAACUCAUGAACCAUGAGAUCAUGACCUGAGCCAAAGGCAGACACUUAACCGACUGAGCUACCCAGGCGCCCCUUGAUUUGAUUCUUUAAAGGGAAAGGGUAUUCAUCUCUUGGCUUCUACAGUUUCUUCCCUUGAAGAAACCCUAAUUCUUGAAAUUUUCUGCCCUACUAAGAGGUGGUGUGAACCUGUCUGGCCUCUCUACCUUUCUAGAAUUCCUAUCUUCAGCCAUAUUUAAGAACCAGUGCUGUGUUAGCCUUGCAUCUCAUGUGGUCUGCAGUCUAGUAGCAUUGAUAUCAUCCAGGUCUUGUUAGAAAUACAGAUUCACAGGCCUCCCCCCAGACGUGCUGAGGAUCUGCAAGUGAUGCCUAGGCACAUGAAAGAGAAGUACGCUGAUCCAGAUGCUGUUUGAUGCACGUGUCUCUCUAGAACCAUUGGAAAGUUGGAGCCAUCCUAUGUGAUCCGCAAGUUUCUGGAUGCCCAGCGCAUCCACAACCUGACCGCCUACCUACAGACCCUGCACCGGCAGUCCCUGGCCAAUGCUGACCACACUACCCUGCUGCUCAACUGCUAUACCAAGCUCAAGGACAGUUCGAAGCUAGAGGAGUUCAUCAAGGUGCAGGGUGGUGGUGGUGGUGGUGGUAGAUUCCCCGAGGGCCCCACUGAGCGGGAGGUGGCUUUACCAGGGUUUGCCCCUUUUUCAGCAGAUGCAGGGAGAAGAAAGGGCUCACCUUAUUUGGGGACCAGGACCCUCUGGUCUAUAAACUGGGAAGAGGAAUAGCCUUUCCUGCUAGUUCUCUCCCGUCUCCCUCUUGUUUUUUGAUGCUUGAACUUUUGAGGGUAUGUAAGCUCAGGGAAUUAACAGUGGUGGGCCCCUGGGUCCCCAGAGGUGUCCCUGUAAUAGUAGGGGAAGAGGAAGACUUUAGCUCUUAAAACCUUACUGAGAAGUAGGAGAACCUAGUGUUUUAAAACCAUGGACUUUCUUUAAUUUUUUUUUUUUGUCUCCAACCCUCCCGGCCUCAACUUUAUUGUUAUCUUAAGAAUCUGUCAGGGGGCACCUGGCUGGCUCAGUUGGUAGAACAUGCAAAUCUAGAUCUCCAGGUCGUGAGUUCAAGCCCCACAUUGGGCCUAGAGUUUGUGUUAAAAAAAAAAAAAAAAAAAAGAAUCUGGUCUCAGAUGCAGGUUUCCUCUCCCUUCCCCAACCACAACCUUUCUGUGAAUGAUUUUGUCUGACGUCUCCCUGGCAGACCAAGAGUGAGAGCGAAGUCCACUUUGAUGUGGAGACAGCCAUCAAGGUCCUCCGGCAGGCUGGCUACUACUCCCAUGCCCUCUACUUGGCUGAGAACCAUGCACAUCAUGAGUGGUACUUAAAGAUUCAGCUAGAGGACAUUAA